AACCCUUUCGUGGGUCCGCAUUAUCUCCUCAUACCCACCAAAGCCCUCCUCUCUCUCUCUCUUUUCCUCUGUGUCGAAAAACAACAAUCUCAUAAAGCAAAAAUAGAGCAUUUUCUCUCUCUCUCUCUCUCUCUCUCUCCGAUCAACUCUAGCUUACCUUGACCCGAAAUUCGAUCCUCGAAGAGAAGCCAUCUCUCAAUCCUUUACUCCUCAUCUCCUGUCUUCAUCGACCAAAUGGUGCAUGAGCUUUGUCGCCUUGUCUCGGAUUCUAAAGUGGAUCUCUCUCGGGUUUUUAGAGCUUCAAUCUACACUCGAAGGUGCAUGCUUGAAAUUCAUUGGUUUAUUUAUUAAAGGACUCACUUGGAUUGGGUCAGAAAGGAAUCGUGGGUCAUGGCAAUUUGAUUCCCACGAUAAUCACCCUUUUGUUAAGAUUUUAUCCUUCAAAACUGAGGUUCAGCCUGAAUUGCUACAACAAGUUUUACUGUUUAUGAUAAAGAGUAGGCGGUUGGGAACGAUGGAAGUUUGUGAAUUCUUAAGAGCUUUUGUGAAUUUUUCCAUUCUGUAGAUGCCCUUUUCGGAUUCAUCAUCAUCUUUGUUUGCAAGGCAAUUAAUAUCAUGUUUGGUAUCAUUUUUUUGUUCCUUUCCUAAUGAAGCAAUUCCAGUUUUUCAGCUUCUCAUGGGCUGCCUCAAAUGUUUACCACAAAAGAAUUCGGAUGUUAGUAUACUUGUCUAAAAAUUGUACUUUUGUUAGUUCCUCUGUAAUCUUGUAGUUAUUAGAUUGUCAUUUAUUCAUAAAAUGCAAAAACUUAGGGACUCUUAUUAUUUUUUGGAAUUAUACAAUGGUUUUGAGACACUUGGUUAGAAUUGAAUUAGUAUGUUUUAAUAACUCUGGCUUAGGCAACCUUUAAUACAAUCACUUGUUCCUUCGUUA